CCUGCCCCUGAACGUGUUACAACUGUGACUGCUGUGUCACACAUGUCAGCAGGUGUCAGAGAGAGAAAAAGCGAUUCCUAUUCUCAGUGUCCUGACUUGUGAACAUCUGAGUGAUUGGUAGCCUAAUACU